AGUAGAGGAUGCAAGAGAGAGCAGCAAAGGAGAUAAAUCAAAGCUCUGAGGAAGUAAAAUAGACAGAAUCCUGAGCACAGGUAAUGGUGUUGGCCCAUGCAGGAGCAGUGACACACCAUGGUGACAGAAGAAUUCAUGUGGGCAUCUGAAGAGACAGCUUUACCUUUGGAAGUUUCCUUACAGACCUUUGAGUGCAAUUCCUCAUUUUACUGGAUAAAGACUUGAAGCUAAAGGAGCUUGUUGUGCCAGAUCUGUGAGCCACUCAUCUCUGGCUGAGACUUGGAGACUGGGCUCAUGUCUGCUGAUCCUGUGCUCAUUUCUUUCCUGCUCCAGUAAACUCCACUGCCCUAAAGAAACAGAUGGAAGCAAAGCAGCCACUGCCCAAGUUCACAAAGAAGCCAUACUCACUGAGUAAUACCAGGCCAGUGGUCCCCACCCUGAGUCACUUAGGAGGACAUGUCACUCAAGGCAGUUACCAAGUGUCCAGCCAACCACAGGCAGUGUGCAGACCUUGCAUGGAGGAGAUUGGACCUAACCUUAGUUCCCACUCCACUCUCUCUCUACACACUGCGGCAACACCGAGGAAGCACUGCCUUCAAGGGCGGACAUCACGUGUCCUGAUCAGAGGAACUAUAGUUCCCCAC